AUCAUCCCUACACACACAAAUAUUUGUGCAAUUUUCUCUUUGGUAGUUAAUUUACUAGUUUUGAUCAAUUGUAGAUGUUUUUUUUCCUUGAAAUUGCAAAAUAGAAUUUCUUUUUCUGGCAUUUGCUAGCUUAAACAGUGCAUUCACCCUAUCUUUCUAGUUUCUAGUCAAACUGCUAUAAAGGGGUUCUUUGUCUCAGAUCUUUUAACUUAUAAACAGUAGAAGAAGCUCUGAAUCAGCAAUGAUAUGGACAUAGGGACAGUGUCUUCAAAUUGAUUACCAUUCAAGAAAUAAUGGUCUUCAGUAUCAAGUGUUUUGAGUAUAUAACUGUGGAGAAUUCUUACUGAAAUUAUUACUUCUCAAAUCUAGUACUAAUAGCUAAGCGAUGUGGAACCGAGUCACUUCAGUCGUCAUGUGAUAUUCUGGAAUUAUCACACGACAAUGACUUGGUUCCACAUUUCUUCAGCAACAUUGCUAAGCUGGUGCUGGACUUGAGAAGUAAUAAUUUUGGUGGUAGUCUCUUUCGCUGUUAUAUACUUGGAGUACUUCAUAUUUGAGAUUCAUCAUUUUGGAUGGUGAUUAAUUUAAAGGAACUGUCCUAUGUCCUCUCCUCUAUGAUGCCGAUGCUUUGAUACAAAAAAACUCACUCCUUGCAUUUCAUUAUUCAGACCAAUGAUUUAGGUAAUAACAUUAGAAACCUAUUUAUCUUAUAUUCUUGUACAAUGAUAUCCCUUUUAAUAGAAUUUUAACUCAUAACACUGAUAGUAUAAAGAAUUUUUCCGCUAUAAUAUAUUUUGAAUUAAGUUGUUUUGGUAGGUAAUCUACUUCACUUUUUCAUAUUUACCAAAUCUGGACAAUUACUUGUUAGUAUCUUUUGUGAGACUUGAUAGGGUAAAAGUACUUCGGACACUAUCAGUUUAUACAAGGUAAAACUCGUUUUAAUAACAGUGGUAUCUGAUCAGCUUGCACGUAACUGCAUGUUUGCAUUCUCCGGAAGUACAACUCACUAAGAGUUAGGUUGAUGAUGAGAAAUCUACCUUAUUUGUUGUGUCUCUGCUAGGCCUUCUUCUUUCUUUUUUAGAAUUCUGUUUUGUUGUUUCUUUUGCUUAGUUGUGUAUCAUUCUUAUCAAUCCAAAAAGAAUAAUUGGGGAUCAUUCUUGUAUGUGUGGGAUAUAAGUGGGAACUAUGUUAGUUUUGAAUGACAUUUAACCUCUAUAGACAUGCAUAUUUGAUUAUCUGAGGUCUAUCUCCUACACCAUAGUUAUUUUUCAUGAUAGUCACAUGUCUCGGGCUGCUUAUUUGUUACAACAACAAAAUACGCAGUGUAAUCUCACAAGUGAGGUAUGGGGAGAGUGGUGUGUACGUAGACCUUACCCCUACCUUGUUGAGGUAGAGAAGUUGUUUCUGAUAGACCCUCGGCUCAAGUAAAACAUAUCAAAUCAGGUAUGAAAGGAAAUACAAUAGUGAAGAAACCAUGUUGAAAAUAAUGGAUGAAAGAACAGUAGCGAUAACAAAUAAUACGAUAAUUAAAGCAAAGGAAACAACAUGUUAUAAUAAAAUCCAACAAUAAGAUAGUAGGAGAGUAAUAACAAUAAAAUUGACAAGGGAAAUUAGACAACGUUCGACUACUUACUGAUCAUCUCGAAUUUCAAAGGUUGUGCACACCUCAGGUUAUCUUCUACCUGCAUUCUCCCUCCAAUACAGCUCAAAAAGACUUGUGUAGAUAGAAAAAAAUCACCUUAUGUUUUAUGUCUCUGCUAGUUCCUGGAUUGUUUUUUCUAGAGCCGAGGGUCUAUCGGAAACAUCCUCUCUUGGGGUGUAAGGUCUGUGUACACUCUAUCCUCUCCAGACCCUACUUUGUGGGACUACACUGGCUAUGUUGUUAUUGUUCUUCUUUUAUUUUCUUCUACUUAUUUGUGUCUCAUCCUUGCAAUGGGAUACAUUUUGAUCUAUGUGAAUCUGAGUGAUUGAGGUCUAUUUCCUCGCUUUCAGUAGUUGUGUUGGGGUCGACUAUAUGAACCAUCUGAGCUGUUCUGCUCUUGUAUAGAGCUUUAUUUAUGUUGCCUUGUUGAAACUAAACAUAAAGUUCAUCUGGUUUCAAAAGUUCUUUCACACUUUGUUUCAGUAUACCACAGUGGUACCAUCUUUAUAGUUCAUUUUCCUUGUUCAUUUAUUGCCUUAUUUGUGUUUACUGUGAUGAUUGUCGACGCCUAUAUUGCUUGAACUCUUCAAAAAUGUCACCAGUGCUUGUCGGAUCCUCCAAAAGAAAGAUUCAAAAUGGAUAACGGCAACAUUUCUCGAAAGUCCAAGCAACAUAGUUAAAGGCAAUAACAUAGUGAAAUUCAUCUAUAUCUCAGCUUAAGACUGCUUAAAAGUAUCCUGGUGGUUGUUGAACUCUGUGAAUUGGCCAGAGCAUUAUGUUGCUCCAACUCUUCAAAAAAUACUGUCGGAUGCACGUGAGUUCCUUUGAAAGUCACACAUUUAGGAGGAUCCGACAAGGGUGCGGAAGCAUUUUUCAGAGUGGCUAUGUGGGUAUAGAUACACUGAUGUGUGUUACUUCAAGGUGUAGAUUAUGGUAGUUCACAUUACUGAUUUAUAAAAAAUGAACAUGUUUGUUAGAAAUUUUUCAUAAUGUUACUGUAUAUUUUUUAGGGUGUACCUUUGACUAUUUCACGGGUACCUACUACCUUCUACCAUUUAUACAUUAUUUGCAACAUUGUAACAUUUCUUUCCCAUUAAUUCGGACAAUAUAAUAAAUAAAAAUAUUUCUUUCGUUUCA